GCUGGCUGUAUGUAUGGGACAACGUGAGCAGUAUUGGUGUGUAUGUACGGGACAACGUGAGCAGUAUUGACUGGCUGUAUGGGACAACGUUAGCAGAAUUGACUCUAUUUAUGGGACAUGAGCAGAAUUGGCUGGCUGUAUGGGACAACGUGAGCAGUAUUGGCUGCCUGUAUGGGACAAAGUGAGCAGAAUUGGCUGUAUGUAUGGGACACCAUUAGCAGAAUUUGCUGGCUGUAUGGGACAACGUGAGCAGAACUGGCUGGCUGUAUGGGACAACGUGAGCAGUAUUGGCUGGCUGUAUGGGACAACGUGAGCAGUAUUGGCUGGCUGUAUGGGACAUUGUGAGCCGUAUUGGCUGGCUGUAUGGGACAACGUGAACUGUAUGGGCUGGCUGUAUGGGACAACGUGAGCCGUGUUGGCUGACUGUAUGGGACAAUGUGAGCAGAAUUGGCUGGCUGUAUGUAUGGGACAACGUGAACUGUAUGGGCUGACUGUAUGGGACAACGUGAGCAGUAUUGGCUGGCUGUAUGUAUGGGACAACGUGAACAGUAUGGGCUGGCUGUAUGGGACAACGUGAGCAGUAUUGGCUGGCUGUAUGGGACAACGUGAGCCGUAUUGGCUGGCUGUAUGGGACAAUGUGAGCAGUAUUGGCUGGCUGUAUGGGACAAUGUGAGCAGUAUUGGCUGGCUGUAUGUACGAGAUAACGUGAGCAGAAUUGGCUGGCUGUAUGGGACAACAUUAGCAGUAUUGGCUGGCAGUAUGGGACAACGUGAACUGUAUGGGCUGGCUGUAUGGGACAACGUGAGCCGUAUUGGCUGACUGUAUGGGACAACGUGAGCAGUAUUGGCUGGCUGUAUGGGACAAUGUGAGCAGAAU